GACGAACGCUGGCGGCGUGCUUAACACAUGCAAGUCGAACGGAAAGGCCCUGCUUUUGUGGGGUGCUCGAGUGGCGAACGGGUGAGCAACACGUGAGUAACCUGCCCUUGACUUUGGGAUAACUUCAGGAAACUGGGGCUAAUACCGGAUAGGAGCUCCUGCUGCAUGGUGGGGGUUGGAAAGUUUCGGCGGUUGGGGAUGGACUCGCGGCUUAUCAGCUUGUUGGUGGGGUAGUGGCUUACCAAGGCUUUGACGGGUAGCCGGCCUGAGAGGGUGACCGGCCACAUUGGGACUGAGAUACGGCCCAGACUCCUACGGGAGGCAGCAGUGGGGAAUAUUGCACAAUGGGCGGAAGCCUGAUGCAGCAACGCCGCGUGCGGGAUGACGGCCUUCGGGUUGUAAACCGCUUUCGCCUGUGACGAAGCGUGAGUGACGGUAAUGGGUAAAGAGGCACCGGCUAACUACGUG
rnacentral:rRNA from 1 species